rnacentral:rRNA from 1 species
UGGGGAAUAUUGGGCAAUGGGCGCAAGCCUGACCCAGCAACGCCGCGUGAAGGAAGAAGGCUUUCGGGUUGUAAACUUCUUUUGUCAGGGAAGAUGAAGAGACGGUACCUGACGAAUAAGCCACGGCUAACUACGUGCCAGCAGCCGCGGUAAUACGUAGGUGGCAAGCGUUGUCCGGAUUUACUGGGUGUAAAGGGCGUGUAGGCGGGACUGCAAGUCAGGCGUGAAACCCAUGGGCUCAACCCAUGGCCUGCGUUUGAAACUGCGGUUCUUGAGUACUGGAGAGGUUGACGGAAUUCCUUGUGUAGCGGUGAAAUGCGUAGAUAUAAGGAGGAACACCAGUGGCGAAGGCGGUCAACUGGACAGCAACUGACGCUGAGGCGCGAAAGCGUGGGGAGCAAACAGG